UUUUAUAAAGUUGUUUCAUGAAAUGAUCACAUCACUCAGUUGUACACAGAAUGAAUCUCCAUAAUCUAACUUAAUAUUCUUAUUUAUGGGAAAAAGAGAAUAUUUCUAUCGUAAAUGCCACAUGGAUAAUUGCGGUAAUUAUAGAGCUAAUACAUGCCUUAAAUCCCUGACCCGCAAGAAGACGGGUGCAUUUAUUAGAACAGAAUCAACCGGCUUCGGCUGUGCUGUUACAUUCUGUGAUGACUUUGGAUAACUUUACUGAUAGCAGUCGGCCUUGCGUCAGCGAAGUAUCUUUCAAAUAUCUACCUUAUCAGUUUAUUGAUAGGUGAUUUGCCUACCAUGAUGAUAACAGGUAACGGGGAAUCAGUGUUUUAUUCCGGAGAGGAAGCCUGAAAUAUGGCUACCACAUCCAAGGACGGCGGCAGGUGCGGAAAUUACCCACUCCCGGCAUAGGGAGGUAGUGACAAAAAAAUACGGAUACGGGACUCCAUUGAGGCUUUGUAAUUCGAAUGAGUACAAUUUAAAUCCUUUAACGAGGACCAAUUGGAGGGCAAGUCUGGUGCCAUCAGUCGCAGUAACUGCAGCUCCGAAA
rfam:Schistosoma mattheei strain Denwood, Zambia genome assembly, scaffold: SMTD_scaffold0012851